AGCAAAAUAUAUUAUGAUCCAUCCAAAUAUCUCCCUCUUACACUUAUAACUUUUCAUUUUUCAAUGCUAUGAAAAAAUAAAAAAUCAUGAUUGCCUUUUCUAGAAAUCUGUACCAAUGGCUACACGAGUCUCAAGGAAAAAAGGACAACUUUUCCACAUACCUACGUUGCCUAUAAAACCCUCAUUUUUUGCUCUCAUUUAUCACUUUUCCACUCAAGCGUCAAGAACAUCGAGAGAAAGAAGUCAAAAAAUCCAAAGCUUCCACAAUGAUUUUUGACAAUUUCUAGGUGAUUUUCUCUUUGAAUCCAUGUUUUGAAUGUUCGAAUCCGACUGCUCGGAAGGUGAGUGACAAGUGCAUGAGGACUUACUACGACUCCUGAUCGAUGAUAACGAGUAGAAUUCAUCAUGAUCAGAAGACUUUCCAUCUUCUUCAGGCAAGCAACAUCAUUUCUGUCUAGACUCCAUGGAUAGAAAUGAACCAUAUUAACGUAAGGUGAGGUUGUACAGGGGAUAUGAAACUAUCUUCCCAUGGAGUGGACUUGCCCUGUUGAGGGAGACAUUCACGAUACACUGCCAGCUAGUAUUCCCGUUGCCAAAGCUAGCAUAGUUCGAAGGGAGUUAGCUGAACGGUUUGUCACAAGUGCCCAGUUUCCCCUUAUUAUGACUAGAGAGAAGAAACGAGCGCGUAAAUCGAUCAGGGGAACUAGACCUAGAUGUCCCUGGUGACUAGAGCGUAGAUGAUCGAGAUCUUUUUCUCGAGCAGCACAGCAACAAUUAAGUCAAAAUACUUAUCCCCAACCAUAACCAGUUCAACAAGAAUGAAGGGAAUAUGAAGCUGUUGGCAAGAAUAAAAAUAUCAGUGUCGAUGGAAAUAUUGGUGCUAUAGUUUUAGAAAAAUAUUAUGAUAUUUUCAAUAUCGAUGAAAAUUUCAAGAAAAUUCAUGGAUAUCACAUAUAUUUGUCUAAAAAUAUAAAAAAAAUAUUGAUAAUUACAACAGUAUAUACAAUAUAAAAAUAAAUAAAAACAUUAAUUAUAUAUUAUAACACUGUCUUAAUUACAUUGUCAUACAAAUACAAUAAUAUUUGACAUUCAUACUCAAUAAAAAAAUAUCACUACCAAAAGGAACUCCUAGGAGAUUCAAAAUUAUGACUCACACGCUCUAAGUGUAGGCAAUAUUGAUGAGGACAUCAAGACUAAAGACCCAAUUCAAGUUCUAGUUGGUCCGGUGACGAGGGCGCGAGCUAGGAGAUUCAAAGAAGAACUUAACCACUUAGUCCGGAGAAUUCUACAACAACAAGAUGUCGAGUUCACUACUGAGGGUGAACAAAAGCUUGUGUUGCUCAUCAAAGUUGAUUCAGUUUAGGGGCUUGAUUCCUUUUAUUAUUUUUGGCUUUUGUUAUUUGGAGUCAAAAGACAUGUCAUUUUGGGCUUUUGUUUUGGGCAUUUUCAUUAUGGUUAUUUUAGGGUUUUCAUUUGUUUAAAAACCCUCCUUGUAUUUUCGGCUAUAUUAUGCCUUGUGGACAACUUGGAAUGCAGAUUAUUUUGGUUAAUGAAAAUAUUGUGAGGUUUUCUUCUUGA